rnacentral:misc_RNA from 1 species
GAUGAAGAACGUAGCGAAAUGCGAUAAGUAGUGUGAAUUGCAGAAUUCAGUGAAUCAUCGAAUCUUUGAACGCACAUUGCGCCCCUUGGUAUUCCAUGGGGCAUGCCUGUUCGAGCGUCAUUUGUACCUUCAAGCCUUGCUUGGUGUUGGGUGUUUGUCUCGCCUCUGCGCGCAGACUCGCCUCAAAACAAUUGGCAGCCGGCGUAUUGAUUUCGGAGCGCAGUACAUCUCGCGCUUUGCACUCAGAACGACGACGUCCAAAAGUACAUUUUUACACUCUUGACCUCGGAUCAGGUAGGGAUACCCGCUGAACUUAAGCACAUCAAUAAGCGGAGGA